ensembl:lncRNA
AGAACACCCAGAGAGACCCAGAGAGACACAGGCAGACUCAGAGAGACUCAGAGAGACAGGCAGGCACAGAGAGACCCAGGCAAGCAGAGAGCGACACAGAGAGAUCCAGACAGGCACAGAGAGACACAGAGAUACCCAGAAGGGCACAGAGAGACACAGAGAGAUCCAGGAAGGCACAGAGAGACACACAGAGAGACCCAGGCAGGCACAGAGAGGCACAGAGAGACACAGAGAGACCCAGGCAGGCACAGAGAGACACACAGAGAGACACAGGCAGGGCACAGAGAGACACACAGAGAGACCCAGGCAGGCACAGAGAGGCACAGAGAGACACACAGAGAGACCCAGGCAGGCACAGAGAGACACAGAGAGAGACACAGAGAGAGACCCCAGGAAGGCACGAGAGACACAGAGAGAGAUCAGGAAGGCACAGAGAGACCCAGGAAGGCACAGAGAGAACAGAGAGAGACCCAGGAAGGCACAGAGAGACACAGAGACCCAGGAAGGCACAGAGAGACACAGAGACCCAGGAAGGCACAGAGAGACACAGAGAGAUCCAGGAAGGCACAGAGAGACCACAUAGAGACCCAGGAAGGCACAGAGAGACACAUAGAGACCCAGGAAGGCACAGAGAGACACAGAGAGAUCCAGGAAGGCACAGAGAGACACAGAGAGAUCCAGGAAGGCACAGGGAGACACAUAGAGACCCAGGAAGGCAUAGAGAGACACAGAGAGACCCAGGCAGGCUUUAGAGACAGACAGAGAGAUCCAGGAAGGCACAGAGAGACAAUACAGACAGAGGCAGGCACAGACACACACACAGAGACCACACACACACACACACACACACACUACAUACAUGCGGUGUCUCUCUUUCACACAGAUAGAGACAUGCAGAGACACACAGACACAUAUACACAGACACAAAGACACCCAUCUACCCACACACAUACACACCGCUCCUCAUGACGUCACUGAGGUUAGUGUAGCCACUGUAGCUGCUAAUGCACUUCACAGUAUCUCCUGAAAACUACAACUCCAGCCUUAUUUAUCCUCCUAAUGAAC